rnacentral:rRNA from 1 species
GGGGAAUAUUGCGCAAUGGGGGCAACCCUGACGCAGCCAUGCCGCGUGAAUGAAGAAGGCCUUCGGGUUGUAAAGUUCUUUCGGUAGCGAGGAAGGCAUUUAGUUUAAUAGACUAGGUGAUUGACGUUAACUACAGAAGAAGCACCGGCUAACUCCGUGCCAGCAGCCGCGGUAAUACGGAGGGUGCGAGCGUUAAUCGGAAUAACUGGGCGUAAAGGGCACGCAGGCGGUGACUUAAGUGAGGUGUGAAAGCCCCGGGCUUAACCUGGGAAUUGCAUUUCAUACUGGGUCGCUAGAGUACUUUAGGGAGGGGUAGAAUUCCACGUGUAGCGGUGAAAUGCGUAGAGAUGUGGAGGAAUACCGAAGGCGAAGGCAGCCCCUUGGGAAUGUACUGACGCUCAUGUGCGAAAGCGUGGGGAGCAAACAGGAUUAGAUACCCCGGUAGUCCUGGCCGUAAACGAUGGGUACUAGGUGUAGGAGGUAUCGACCCCUUCUGUGCCGGAGUUAACGCAAUAAGUACCCCGCCUGGGGAGUACGGCCGCAAGGUUG